rnacentral:rRNA from 1 species
CUGGGUGUGUAAGCGUUGUGAGGCGUUGAGCUAACCAGUACUAAUUGCCCGUGAGGCUUGACCAUAUAACACCCAAACAAUU